AUGGACAUACAUGGUAAGUAUUCAGUUCUCUUUGUAACCUCUUCAGAGGCUUAUAUCAUCAGUCCUGUUUUAUAGUUGGAAUAACUGAGCACUUGGAAGUCCAAUUUACAGACAUGUCAAAGAGUUGAAUGGCAGGACCAUGAUGGCACAUGUGUCUUCCUCCAAAGCUAACGAACAGCCAUUCCUAAGAGGAACACAGGCAGCAGGAAGGGACUUGGUCCCCUGACUUCUGGUAGGAUUGAGAGGCCUUGGAAUGCACAUGGCUUUAUCUGUCAGGCAGGCACAAAAGAUAGGGUUGCACAAUUGUUCAUGUGCUAUCUGAAGGAGUUUAAGGCAGCGGAGAGACUCUAACACGGGGUCAGUUUGUGUGAAGAUCCUAGGUGAGCUCUCAGUUUAGUAUAACCAGUAAAUUGAGACUGAGCCCCAUUCUCAGGCCUGUGGUUUCCUCAGCCUUGAAUGACUUUGCCUUAAGUACAGAGCCUUGAUUCCUUGAUGUGGAUCACCCACCUGCUCAGAAUUUUCUCUUUUGCUCUUCAGACUGUAAUGUUUUCUUCCUUUCAAAGAAUAAAAGGCGAGAUAGCCGGCCACCUUCCUGGUGAGAGCA
rnacentral:lncRNA from 1 species